AAGUCUUUCAGUCUCUGUUGGCCACUUCUAGUAGCAUUGAGAAAUUAAAGUCGGACCAAGAAGAAUCUUCAAGACAUUUUAUUCCUGGUAAAGAUGCCAUUUGUUUUGGCUUUUCUAUUUUGGAUGGUUUGCAUUUUGCGGUAGGCUUCUUGAUUCCUUCAUGAUUGAGCUGGCACAUUUUAUACGUCACAGCCAAACACUAUUAAUUGGUAUCGUAAUCUAAUUCUUUGAAACUUGAAGUUCACACCUCCAUUGGGCAAUCAUUCCUCAGUAGCCGAGAGUCUAGACCCCGUGGAUGAAGCAAAGCGUAAAUCAAGGAGCUGGUUGUUUCCAGGCUAGUGAGACACAACAGAUAGAAAUGGAUCUUAAGUAUGUGUGCAUAGAUGCGUGUCUUUGUCAGUGACUUUUGGGACAACCUGUGAGCAACAAAAACCUUCAGCAGCCAUGGCAACUGCGGCUGUCAGACAGCAGAAAACGAUGCCGGAGAACGCGGGUGUGGCUUGUUUUGAGUUUUAGCUGAAAUUGUGAUUUGUGGAAUUUCUAAUCGUAUCAGAAAAACAUUUGUUCUGCUUCUGGUGCAACUUCUAAAAGAAAAAAAAGAAAAGCAGCACAAAGCUUACUUCAAGAUUUUAUUGUUGUAUCACUGUCAUCACUGAUUUACAUCAAAUGUAAAUUAAGAGAGAGUUCAUCUCAAAACAGAAAGGGGAACAGUAUACAACACGUCAAACAGGUCCAGUGCAAAAACAAGGUAACAGAAGUUUUCCGAACUACAUGACUAAGAACAUUAAAAUUUUUCACACAUAUAUAUUUAUGUUUAUAUAUACUCAUGUAUUUGGUCUCAUUAAUCACAACUUCAUGGAAAACACCAAUUAUUAGCUAAAACUUGUAUCUUGUAGCCCAAUAUCAGUUUUUGAUGAAAAAAAAAAAAAACAGACAAUAAAUGAUCAGCAUUUUGGAGAUUUUGCAUUUCAGUGGAUUAUUUCUGUCCAAUAAUGAGAUAUUUUAGUACACAGUUAAAUGCUGAUUAUUUUCACAACCCAGUUUCUGGGUAGAAGCUGUUGGAUCACAGGUUGGGUUAGUUUGACCAAAUACUGGAUCAAAAUUCAUAACUCAAGAUUUGGGUCAGAAAUGUACUGGAACUGUACAGCUUGAAUACUUGUGUUGGGUCAGUGGUUGGGUAGAUUUACCCAGUUGUAAACCAGUGUUAAAAACACAAGUAAAAAUUAAGAGUUAAAAAGUAGCAAAGUUAAAAAAUAUGUUUAUAAAUAUAGGUUAAAAGCUCUAAAAAUCUUUAAAAGCUGUGAAAUAUGCCUUUAGUGAUUGCUGUUAGUGACGAUUAGGCAACCAAUAGCUGGUUGGUGAAAUCACAGUCUGAUUUCACAUCAGCCAAUAAGGUUGAUUGUCCCGCCCCUUCCAACUGCUUGCUGAGCUUUUGCACAGAACGCGUCAGACAAGCUUGAGAGCUCACAGCUGACGGUUGUUUACGUGAAGAGCUUGUCAAAAUUUUAUGAAUCUAGAAAACGAUCUCGGAGGGUUUCCCUUGAAAGCGACUGAAGCCGGAAAAAGCCGUCGAUAGCGUCGGAGCAUCGGUGAGAGACCGCACGCGCUCGGCAGUUGGCAGUAAAUUCGGUCCGGUUUUUAUUUUUGCCAUGUUAUGGUGCAAUUUUUGGCCUGUGGUGCCCAGAGACCCGAUGAUCUUCCUCAUCUGAACUUGGAUGGCGAGCCCCAGCCCAGAGAAUCAAGAGAACUGUGGUUGGGUUAAAGACAAAACUUGGAAGAAGCCACGCCCCUCUUCACAAGCCUCCAUUUUCAACAAGACUUAUCGGACUUGCUUAUCGAACUUCUCCUCUACUUUGAGAUAAGACAUGCUCUCACCGUACAUCGCAGGGAGGCGAAAUGAGGAAAAUAAACGGUGUCUAUAAGUGCGGGGACAGCGGCUUCUCGUCUUGCUGCUCUGUUGGCACUUGACAGGGGAAUAUAACCAGGGCCCGACUGUUUGCCUCUGGCUGGCCUUGUGAAUCUCCUUCAGCAUCGAGCCUUCCUCUACAUACAGCGCCCAGUUUCCAUCCCGAUCUCCGUCGUUCACAUGCUUACGCCUCGUCAAACAAUCAUUUUAGAGAGACAGUCUGUAAUGGCAGCUUGACGUCAAGCCACCACUCGUUUAAUCAGCCCCAUUAGAUCUCAAAUCACCGCCCUGACAUGACCGCCAACAGGGAAGGGGUUCCUCUGUGGGCUCCAGUGUCCCCUACACGAAAGCAGGCCGACAGGAAAGGGGGAAGGAGAACGUCGCCUGGGUUCCAGGAGUCGAACCUGCGACAGCCUCGCCGAGAACUCAAGGCCACCAGAGAUGGGCUGUGCUUUCCCCCAUGCCGCCACCAGAAACUGAAAAUUUUGCCAAUUCUUCUCACCUUGCCACUGUUGAUGAAAAGAAUCCCCACAGCAUAAUGCUGACUGAAAGAUUUUCUUUAUGUUGCUAAGAAUAAACUGGGAGCACUUUCAUGACCCUGCUCCCCCCCAAAAAAUCUAAACAUUCAACCCAAAAAGUUGAAAAAAAUUUAUGUGAGACCCUUUACUCGCAUCUAAAAUAAUUUAUUUUCUACUCUAUUCCAUUAAACAUUGCCUGUUUAUUUUAUUGCUGAGCAGGUGAGAAGAAAGUUUUGUUGCAA